UUCUUCUUUCUUCUUCUGCUUCUCUUUCCGUGUUCUUCACCUGUUGGUGAUUUUGCGAAACUGAAAUCGAGAUUUUUAGAUCGAGAGAGGUAGGGUAUAGUUGAGUAGUGAUUGUUGUUGGUGGUACUGAUGCUGAUUAGAUCUGGGUAGAUGAAAAGAUGUCCAUGCUGUUGUAAAUUAGAGGUUAGGGUUUCUGAGUUUUGAGGUCGAGUAGAACUGACGAUGUUUUAGGGUUGCUGAUUGACGAAGAACAGAAGGGUGGAGGUUGAAUUGAAGAUAUGUAGUCGUUCUAAUGAUGAAUUGAAGCUAGGGUUUCAUGUUCUUCCCCAAAUCAGUUUCAGUAAUCAGAAGGAAUGAAGCGUGCGAAGAUAUCCGUCUUCGUAGCUUAGUGUUAUACCGAAUAUAAUAGUCGUGUAUCUGUAUUAUAUGUAUUCUUUCUUUAUUAUGUAAAACAACACAUUUAUAUAUUUGUAUAACAUGA